rnacentral:rRNA from 1 species
AUGGCAAAAAUUUUGUGGAGUAGUUCUAUUGACAGGCGUUCUCUGCAUUGGAUAUCUUGGGAGAAGCUGUCCACACCAAAAGUACAUGGCGGCAUGGGCUUUCGGGAGUUUGAGAAGUUCAAUCUGGCACUUCUCGAGAAGCAUGGCUGAUGGCUCCUAACCCAUCCGGACACCCUCUGUUCGAGAGUUCUCAAAGGAAAAUAUUUUCCUAAUGGAGAUUUCAUGCAGGCUAAUGCUCUAGCUUCUGCUUCGGCAACAUGGAAGGCGAUCAUAGUGGGGCGC